rnacentral:rRNA from 1 species
CCCGCUGAAUUUAAGCAUAU